ensembl:lincRNA
AUGAUCUGCCCCCCCGAAGGCGUAGCAGCAAUCGAUACCACUGAGGCUCACGGCCACUGUGAGGAAGGGUCCCCCCCAACGCUGGAAUCUGAGCCAUCCAGGCAGAGCCUGUUCCGAAAACACGCAGCACGUCAACACGCACUCCAGCAGCACACAGCUGGGCCAGGGGCCAGAACCCCCCCCACUCCACUUCCCCACACAGAGAGGAACAAGAAACCUCAGUCCGGCUUCCAAGAAGGGCUGGUAAACAGCAUCUGUCAAAGUCGGAAGAGCCGGCUCACUCGCUCGCUCGCUCCCCAGCACCAGGAAAACCAGGAGCGGAGCCGGAGCCGGGGGAGAGGCUGUGAGGCUGAGACGUCUGCUGCCCGCGCCUGUUUUUUUUUCCCCUUUCCUGCGGCGAGUCUCAACACAAUUAUGUCACCUGCCCGCCGAGGUCGCAGCGAAGCUCCGGCCCGGCUGGUGCCUCCGGCGGGGGAGAGGAACGCCUGGAUUCGAGCCCGUCUCUUGUGUUUCGAAACCUUGGAAUUAAGAGAAAAAUGUUCCCCCCCAGAGGCGAGAGGCGCUGCGACCGGAGUGAGGGCGAGGCGAUGGCGGGGCCGCGGGGCAGGGAAGGGCUGGCACACGUGCACACAGCCCCCCCUCACUUACACCACAGUGGGGUUUGGGCCCCAGGAACGACCGCUCAGCUGUCCUUUUCCUGGGGGGGGGAGGGCGGGAGUGUCAGGCCACAGAAACCACCGCCUGGUCCUCUCCAGGAGCUUCCAGCUCAUCGUGGGCUCGUCCCCCCUCUGCCCCGGCACCCGCACGCCCACGGAGGAGACACCAGCCCUAGAGCCCCAGACGGGACAUCCCGGGAGACCGCGCCAGGAGAGGCGCCGCCUGCGAGGCUCGGAGCGGGAAGAGGCCCCUGUCUCAGGGGCGCGGGCAGCAGUCGGGACAGCCCCGAUAUUCCAAACCCGCAACAGAAGGGGUUUGUGGUGUUCCAGGGCCGCGGGGGGGUGGUGGUCCGGAUGGGGAAACACCGCCCACUGAAGGGAGGUGAAAAACCCAGCCCGCGAGACGGCGAAGGAGCGCAGAGGCCCGGCUGCCCUGCUCCCACGCCGCUCGGUAAAGACGAACCCUGCCUUACAGACGGGCAGCCGCCCUGCAGCCGAGUCCCUAAGUCAAGAGGAUACUCGGGGAUUAACAGCCGACCGGGCUGAGGUCAGAGAAAGACGGCGAGCUGCGGCCGUGUCGUGCGUCACCCCUCUGUCUCCCAUCCUCGGGAGAAAGCCGACCUCCCAGCAGACAUCCUCCGUGGGGGGGGGGGAUCCCGUCGUCACACAUCUCCCCGGUUACUCACACGGGCUGCAGAUGCCCUCUACCUGCCUUUGGGACCGGCGGUAAGGAGCGAUUACGAGGCAGAAGCCGGCUCUACCCAGGGGAUGUUUUUCAUGUCGUUAUUCCUAAUCUGACCUUCAAGCCUGUCCCGUAUUACCCAACCAGGCUCAGAGCAGAUUCAGCCACUGAGUCAGGCAGCUAAGCCCGGACUCCGGGAUGCAUAAAGGAGGCAGACCGGCGAGCCCUACAGUCAGCAGGCUUGUACAGUGCAGUCAGCCAGCGUAGGUGGCAAGGGGAGUCUGAUCUCCGCAGCUCGGAUGUGAUCAGGCUCACAGUCUCAGGGAAGCUUAAGCGUGGCUCAGACUGCUCUGCAGCAGCUCCGACACGGCGCUGGAGUCAUCGAACCUCAACCCCCCCUCCCCGAGCUCGGCCGCGCCAGCAGCCUCGGCUGCGAGGAGCGGCACAGCCCCCGGGGCGACGGGGCGCGCGCCAAUUUACUUUCAAAGACAUGACACUAACGUCCGCGACCCCAAUUGCAUUGUUUUGUUCUCCUUCCUAAUUAGAAAAAAAAAAGAACAACAGAAAAAAGAAAACACGUUUGUAAAACUAUUUCCCCACUUAAAAAAAAAAAACCUGAGCUAACGUCUCGCUUCAGAGCUAAAAAAAAAAAAAAAAAAGCCGGGCCUCGACCAAACAUCAGCCAGAUGUUGUGUUUGGCAGUCAGGUGGUUCUGCGGAGGCAUCUCCGGAAUGACACCGGUACUGAACACGGUUGUCAACAAACGCGCGCAGACGCAGGUGUGGCGUAACAGCAGUGGCACACAUCUGGCUGCUCCGCGCCUCUGCUCUCAAGCUUCCAGCUCGAUACGGGUCGGACAGCUGUGCCAACUUCCCGACAGCCGGCUGGGGAGCCCUGCCGCCGGCGGCCCUGGCGCUCCGAGCUUUGACUUGACCCGGCGGGCGAGCGCCUUCCCUCCUGCCUCGCGACCUCGCGGCCCCGGCGGCUCUGUCAGGGGCGCGAGGGGGUUUAUAAUUAGAGCAGCCGCUCUCGACCGGCACUCGGCGGGCUCUUGGCCCGGGUCAGGAGCCCGGGCUGGCGGCGGAGUCAUGCCCUAUUAAUACCCCGGAAUCUCGGGCCCUCACGCGCGCGGACGCCGGCAUCGACACGUGCUCCCGUCGCCCCGAUACGAACCGUGCGAGUCAAACACGUAUACAAACACGCAAAACAACUUCUGCGCCGUGCGUCCCAGCAAGUGACAUGUCAGAGGCACCCAGGGUUCCCCCAAAUUCGGCACCUGCUCACUUUUCCCCACCAGCACAGGAACUGAAGUUAGAAUCCCAGGACUCUCGGAGAGGGGCACACAGAGUGAGGUGGGAAGUGGGAAACAUCGCAGGCCCCCUGGAACAGCGUGAUCCGAGAAAAGACGGACAGGAGACACGGGCACGGGGGCACGCCGACGCUGAAACACGAGCCCGCUGUUCAAACUUUUAGAUGGAAACUGAAUUAUUCACAGGGAGGGACGAGGGCGGGCUGUCGUUCCCGGGCCAGUGGAGAUAUCACAUUCCAGAGCCGUCGGAGCUGGAGAGGGGAAAGGACGGGCGAAGAUUUCGGGGAGACGGGGGGGGUGCUGGUGCUUGCUAUGCCAGUCAGGACCUGGAUCUGAACGAGCAGGGGCUCAGGCUGAAGGCAGGCGCGAGAGACGCUGUGUGCACAAGAAAGGUACACACUGUACCCUCUGUGACAGCUUUAACACAAGAAUAAGCCCCUCUGUGUUCCUCCGCCUGUUAGAAUGCCAGUGUGUGGGAAGUAGCGCCAAAUGGGUUACAAAGGGGCUCUGGCCCUCCUUAUAUGCCCUUCAGUGUCUCCCUCAUCUCUCCACCGCACGGCAUGUGCCCACAUCCCACACAUUCCCAGAGAAAUACUGCACGCUCACCCUCCCGGACAACGCCGCGCCCCACUCCUGGUCUCCCUGCAGCUCCCUGCCCCUUCCCGUGUCGGUUUCUCAGUUCCCGCCUGGCUACUUAUCUGUCCACCAUAGUUUACUUAACCUGAAGAUCGAUCAACUCUCGCUACCGAACUGUCUCACCUCCCUGUACCCCCCCUUCUCUCACAGCGUGGAAUUUUCCUAAAAUGCAGCUCCGCUGCUGAGGGAGCUGCAGGCCUACCGCCUGGUGCAGGAUUUAAAAAAAAAAACAACUAAUUUCUAAUUUCUCUUCAUCUCAUCAUCUCGCGCUCCCUCUCUCUCCACCUCCGUGACAACACCUGGGGUUUGCGACAAGGGGCAGAGGGAACACAGAAGGAACUCGGAAAAACACUGGCACUCCCAGCACAGGUGGAGGAAGAUGACCGACUUGCGUUAUCGCCGUCGUCACCCCGACGGCCGGAGUGUGCGCUGUAGCGCCGAUUUCUCUGCUCGGCUCCUCGUCUGCGUGCACGACAGCGGGGGGGGGGGGGCAAGAGGACACAGGACAGCCGGGGUGGCCGAUCCGGGUCCCGCCUAUUCGGCAGCGGAGCCGCACGCGAGAUCCGGAUCGCCCCCCCUGGCGGGGAGGGUCAGGCCGGGCCCGGGACGACGGCAGACAGCUCCUCGCCCGAGCACGGGCCGAUCCGCCACUCUCUCCCUCUUUCCUAAACUGUCACAGGGAGCCAGACCGCAGGCCUCCUGCCCCGACCACAGUCACCACCCUGCUGUCUCACUGCGGCCAGACAUUACCCAACACAUUCCGGCAGCCAGGGCCCGCAGACACGGCCGGGAGAGGGAGGGAGAGGAAAUCCCGGGGAGAACAGGGAAGGAGAGGACAAGGGGGACGGGAAGAGCCCGAAGGGGGGGGAGGGACCCCGACAGCGCGCGAGGGGUGGACAGGGACGGAGACGAGGACACAGUACGGGUGGAAAUACAGCUCUAACAGGGCUUUCCACAGGUCACUGUCCCACCUGACGCCAGAGCCGCGUGCGCAGAGGUGAGCGAGCAGGCAGCGGAGGAGCAGACAGCGAAACCCCGCUAUCCCCCUCUCUCGCUGGCCAGCUGCGGGACGCUGCCGUCCUCCCUGUCCACCGCCCGCCCCACCCGAGGUUCGGACCCGUGUGUGACCCACCCCCCACCCUCUCGCACCAGAGCCCUCAAGCCCUGCCUGGCGCUCUGGCGAACGGUGAGGGUCAAAACCCCUCUUCCCCACCAGCCUCCACCCUCCUGUCUUUCGUGGGGAUACGAAGACUCCAGUGUGGGAACGAUACCAGCCGGGACGCCGGGCUCUUCCCAGAAACAGCCAUGCAAGACCCUCGGAUCCCAACGAGCCUCUGGCCUACAACCUUUCUUCUGUUUUUCCGAAGACGUGGGAAGCCAAAAUGAUCCUC